CCUACGGGAGGCAGCAGUCGAGAAUCUUGCACAAUGGGGGAAACCCUGAUGCUGCAACGCCGCGUGAAGGAAGGCGGGUUUCGGAUUGGAAACUUCUUGUCUUAGUGAAGAAUAAUGACGGGAGAGAAGGAGCAAGCGACGGCAAACUACACGCUAGCCGACGAGGUAAUACGUAGGUGGCAAGCGUUGUCCGGACUUACUGGGUGUGACGGGAGCGCAGGCGGGAAGCCAAGUCAGCUGUGAAAACUACGGGCUUAACUUGCCGACUGCAGAUGAAACGGGUUGUCUUGAGUGAAGGAGAGGUUGGCGGAAUUCCGAGUGUAGCGGUGAAAUGCGUAGAUAUUCGGAGGAACACUGGUGGCGAAGGCGGCCAACUGGGCUUUAACUGACGCUGAGGCUCGAAAGUGUGGGGAGCAAACAGGAUUAGAUACCCGAGUAGUC
rnacentral:rRNA from 1 species